rnacentral:tRNA from 1 species
GCCGAUGUGGUGAAAUUUGGUAGACACGCUGUCUUGAGGGGGCAGUGCCGCAAGGCGUGCCGGUUCGACUCCGGCCAUCGGCACCA